GACGAACGCUGGCGGCGUGCUUAACACAUGCAAGUCGAACGGAAAGGCCUGCUUUCCCUUGUGGAUUGCGGGUACUCGAGUGGCGAACGGGUGAGUAACACGUGAGUGAUCUGCCCCCAACUUGGGUAUAAGCCUGGGAAACUGGGUCUAAUUCCCGAUAGGACUGCAGGGUGGUGCCUGUGGUGGAAAACGAUUUUCUAGUGGCUGGGGAUGAGCUCGCGGCCUAUCAGCUUGUUGGUGGGGUAAUGGCCUACCAAGGCGGCGACGGGUAGCCGGCCUGAGAGGGUGGACGGCCACAUUGGGACUGAGAUACGGCCCAGACUCCUACGGGAGGCAGCAGUGGGGAAUAGUGCACAAGGGGCGGAAGCCUGAGGCAGCGACGCCGCGUGGGGGAUGACGGCCUUCGGGUUGUAAACUCCUUUCGACCGCGAGGAAGCCACCUGGUUGGAAGGGUGGUGACGGUAGUGGUAGAAGAAGCACCGGCUAACUACGUG
rnacentral:rRNA from 1 species